GAUGAAGAACGCAGCGAAAUGCGAUAAGUAAUGUGAAUUGCAGAAUUCAGUGAAUCAUCGAAUCUUUGAACGCACCUUGCGCUCCUUGGUAUUCCGAGGAGCAUGCCUGUUUGAGUGUCAUUAAUAUAUAUAUAUCAACCAUUCUCUUCUUGUUGAGUGGUUUGGAUGUGGGGGUUUGCUGGCCUUUUGAAGGGUUCAGCUCCCCUGAAAAGCAUUAGCAGAACAACCUGUUCAUUGGUGUGAUAACUAUCUACACUAUUGAAUGUGAAGGGCAGUUCAGCUUUCUAACAGUCUUUGGACAAAAUCAUCAAUGUGACCUCAAAUCAGGUAGGAUUACCCGCUGAACUUAAGCAUAUCAAUAAGCGGAGGA
rnacentral:misc_RNA from 1 species